UCCGGCUCGGUUAACGGGCAGCUCUGCAGCCGAGCGGAGUGAGCCUCCUGCGGCUGAGCGGCUCGGAGAGUGGCCCGGAACGUUUUCCAUCACAACGGCUGCUCGCAGAUGGCGGCCUGGUACAGACGAGAGCGGACCGCAGCACAGCCAUCCGAGAGAAAGUAGAUCCCAGAAAUACGCCACCAGUUCCGUUCACCGACAGCAGCGUCGAACCGGGACACGGCACGUCAGCGUCCCGGGUGAAACUCUUCACAUUGAGCGCCGCUGCUGAUUAUUUCAUUUCAUAUGUUUUAUAUGAAUAAAAUAAUAAAAACUGUAAAUGUUUAUUUAUUUUUUUAUUAGUCGGAUGUACACGAAAGUAGUGCUGCAAUAAACAAACUCCUUCAGGCUUCAGAA